AGAGUUUGAUCCUGGCUCAGAUUGAACGCUGGCGGCAGGCCUAACACAUGCAAGUCGAACGGUAGCACAGAGGAGCUUGCUCCUUGGGUGACGAGUGGCGGACGGGUGAGUAAUGUCUGGGGAUCUGCCCGAUGGAGGGGGAUAACUACUGGAAACGGUAGCUAAUACCGCAUAACGUCGCAAGACCAAAGUGGGGGACC
rnacentral:rRNA from 1 species